UACGUAGGGGGCAAGCGUUGUCCGGAAUCACUGGGCUUAAAGGGCGCGUAGGCGGGCAUUCAAGUCAGGGGUGAAAUCCUGGAGCUCAACUCCAGAACUGCCUUUGAUACUGGCGACCUUGAGUCCGGGAGAGGUGAGUGGAACUGCGAGUGUAGAGGUGAAAUGCGUAGAUAUUGGGAGGAACACCAGUGGCGAAGGCGGCUCACUGGACCGGAACUGACGCUGAGGCGCGAAAGCGUGGGGAGCAAACAGG
rnacentral:rRNA from 1 species